AUGACACUGAGUAAACAAUGGGAAGUGAAAGUUGUGUCCGACUCUUGGCAACACCAUGGCCUGUACAGUCCAUGGAAUUCUCCAGUGAGACCUAAUCUGAUGAAGUUCCUGCUCCUUAAGUGUCGAGCCAAGGAGCUGACCUCCCCGGCGGAAAUGCUGAAGACGGUCCUCAGGGAUAACCAGGAGCACUUCCCAGUGGUCUUCAGCCAUGCCUCGCAGUGCCUGCAGCUGGUCUUUGGCGUGGAGUCUGCAGAGGCUGCGAGGGAGGACGACAAGGAGGCCUGAGCCAGAGCGGCAGCCAGCCAACCCUUCCCUCUGCGAUUGAAGAGGGAGCGUUCAGCCUUCUCAGAACUGAGGGCCUGGACCAGCUGGGGGCGCCAUUCUGUAGCUUCUUUGGGUUCCUGUUCUUUAUGACGAUAGGCAGAUUCAUCUCUGUUUCCUUUAGGAAACUGUCAAACUUGAAUUGUCUUAAUAAAUAAAACAAUUAUUAAAUAAUUUAAAUAAGUUUACUAAAUAAACUUCAGUGUCUCAGCUUUGUGAAUGAUGUUGAUCACAGUGUGUCUGUCCUUAUCCAGUUCAAGAACAAGAGUUUCGCUAUUUUGUAAAAGCAAUUGGGAACUCUUCCAUUUUGUUUUGUGGUCCUGAACAGGAUACAGUGGAAUUGGAAUUAGGACUGUUUUGGAAAUGCGAGCUUACUGAGCAGUAGUAUUGAUGGGGGAAGAAUUAGAUGAUGAAAGUAAUCAUAGUGAAUUCAUGCUUCUGUCCUUCUUGUGUAUCAUUCUCAAAAACUAAAUUAUCCUUGUUAAAAAAAAAAUAAAGACUCAGAAAUAAGGUGGGGAUCAGGUGGGGCUGACGCCGUUCACAGGCAAAAGCCCAGGUCCUAAUCCUUGCAUGCUUUUUAUUGCUAACAUCGCCUUCCUUGUAGGUGCUCUAGAGAUAUCUGUCUUUUACAAUCUCGAAUCAGGGAUAAAGACAUACAAUGCACAGUCCUCAAUGUCAAACCUUCAGGCCGUCAGCUAGUGACGACCUUUCUCAGCAACCCCCCCAAGUCUUUGGUUAUGGAAACAGCCACUGACGGUUUUCCAUCAGCGACAUCAGCACUUCAGCAUCUUGUUUGCAAAGAUGUUUUUCCACGAUGUGCUGUUUACUUGCUCCCAGCCUUUUGCCUGGGGUGAUGAGAAAGCCAUUCUUAGUUUUCAAAGAAGCCCUGUUAAUUAUAGUGCAAGCCUGUGCAUAGCAUAUUCCCUACAUAUCCCCCUUUUUUAUUUUUUGAAGCUUAUUUUUGGUGAUUAUUGUUGAGCAUAGAAGCCCAAGCGAUAGCCUCUAAUCGCUGUUGUUUCUCAUCAACUUUCUUGGUGAUUCGCCGCCAGAUGUGGCGGUUACCACAGAUAACAUAGCCAAGAACAAGGCAGCGAGGUCAAAGGCCGUCCCUGCUCUCUGGCCACUUUUCCCCCCGUCAGCGGUCAAUUUCUUCCGUUGGCCUCAAGUGGCCAUUGCUGCUCGUCAGCCUUGCUGCCCCGUCACUGGCGGCUCUCUGGGAAGGUUGAUGUCGAACUGUGUCUUCUUCUUUCCUUUCUUUGACCGGGCUUCCUGGUACCCAGUGGUGUUGUCCAUCAUCUGAAACGACAAGCGCAUAACCUCAUCCUUUCUUAAGUCUAAGGCCCUCACGCCAAUUGUUCGUAGCAUUUUCCCACCACACCGGAGUAUUAUCUGCAAUUAAUUGACCAGGAGUGUAGUUUUCACUAAGAAAGGUGUUCUGAAAAUGCAGUGUUGCUGCUGGCGUUGUAUGGUCCAAUCGUAAAUCCAAGAAAGUUAAAGUAAAUUAAGCUUGGGCUAAUUCUCUUUUGGUGUCAUCAAUAUGCCAUACUUUUCUCCCUCUUUCUGUUUAAAUAACAUAUUGUUUAGAGUUCAAUGCGUGCGUCCCAUAACAGCCUGGCCUUGAGAAUUAUACGGAAUACCUGUAGAAUGAGAAAUAUUCCAAUCAGAUAAGAAUUUUGCAGAACCGUGACUCACAUAUGCAGGCCCAUUAUCAGCUUUAACAUGUUUUGGUAGGCCCGUAUGAGAAAAGGCUUGCAAAAAAUGUGAGACAACAUGAGCAGAUGUUUCUCCAGAAGGAGCAGAUGCAUAAAUCAUGCCCGAAUAAGUAUCCACAAAAAUAUGAAUAGCUCCCAAACAUCCAAAAGAAGGGACAUGGGUAACAUCAGUCUGUCAAAUACUGUUGGGAUAAAGGCCUCUGGGGUUAACCCCUGUAGUAGUAGCAACGUGGUGAGCAAGAGUACAUGUAGGGCAGGCAGAAACAAUGUCUCGGGCUUCCUGUCUGGAUAAUCAAAAUUUAUUCAUCAAGCCACGUGUAUUUAUAUGUGUGAGUUGACGAAACUCAUAAGGAGUAAGAAAAGCAAUUAACAAAGAGUUGAUGGAA
rnacentral:lncRNA from 1 species